UACGUAGGGAGCGAGCGUUGUCCGAAGUUACUGGGCGUAAAGCGCGCAUAGGCGGGCUGUUAAGUGAGAGGUGAAGGGCUGGGGCUCAACCCCAUGCAGUGCCUCUCAUACUGGCGGUCUUGAGUGCGGCAGGGAGAAGUGGAAUGGCUGGUGUAGCGGUGAAAUGCGUAGAUAUCAGUCGGAACACCGGUGGCGAAGGCGGCUUCUUGGGCCUUUACUGACGCUGAGGCGCGAAAGCUGGGGGAGCGAACGGG
rnacentral:rRNA from 1 species